rnacentral:rRNA from 1 species
UACGUAGGGUGCGAGCGUUAAUCGGAAUUACUGGGCGUAAAGCGUGCGCAGGCGGCUUUGCAAGACAGAUGUGAAAUCCCCGGGCUCAACCUGGGAACUGCAUUUGUGACUGCAAGGCUAGAGUACGGCAGAGGGGGAUGGAAUUCCGCGUGUAGCAGUGAAAUGCGUAGAGAUGUGGAGGAACACCAAUGGCGAAGGCAAUCCCCUGGGCCUGUACUGACGCUCAUGCACGAAAGCGUGGGGAGCAAACAGG